UGUCAAGUUUUUAAGGGCACAUGGUGGAUGCCUUGGCAUCAGAAACCGAUGAAGGACGUGAGAAUCUGCGAUAAGCCUCGGGUAGUCGAUAACUAGACGUUGAUCCGAGGAUUUCCGAAUGGGGUAACCCGGCUGGAGGCAAGUCCAGUCACCGCUACCUGAAUAUAUAGGGUAGAGGGAGGGAACGUGGGGAAGUGAAACAUCUCAGUACCCACAGGAAGAGAAAACAAUUGUGAUUCCGUGAGUAGUGGCGAGCGAAAGCGGAUGAGGCUAAACCGGUCACGUGUGAUACCUGGUAGGGGUUGCGUGGUCGGGGUUGUGGGAGCGAUCGUCCGAGGUCUACCAGCCUCGGGGGCAGUUAGAAAUGUUGGUGGUAGUCGAACGGUCUUGAAGGGCCGGGCAGAGAGGGUGCGACCCCCGUAGACGAAACUGCUGGCACUGUUUGUGUUGUUUCCCGAGUAGCACGGGGCCCGUGAAAUCUCGUGUGAAUCUGCCGGGACCACCCGGUAAGCCUAAAUAUUCUCUGAUGACCGAUAGCGGACAAGUACCGUGAGGGAAAGGUGAAAAGUACCCCGGGAGGGGAGUGAAAUAGUUCCUGAAACCAUGUGCCUACAAUCCGUAGGAGCCCUUCGGGGUGACUGCGUGCCUUUUGAAGAAUGAGCCUGCGAGUUAGUGCUCAGUGGCAAGGUUAACCCGUGUGGGGAAGCCGUAGCGAAAGCGAGUCCGAAGAGGGCGUCAUAGUCGCUGGGUCUAGACCCGAAGCGGAGUGAUCUACCCAUGGCCAGGUUGAAGCGCCGGUAAGACGGCGUGGAGGACCGAACCCACUUAGGUUGAAAACUGAGGGGAUGAGCUGUGGGUAGGGGUGAAAGGCCAAUCAAACUCCGUGAUAGCUGGUUCUCCCCGAAAUGCAUUUAGGUGCAGCGUCACGUGUUUCUUGCCAGAGGUAGAGCUACUGGAUAGCUAAUGGGCCCCACCGGGUUACUGACGUUAGCCAAACUCCGAAUGCUGGUAAGUGAAGCGUGGCAGUGAGACUGCGGGGGAUAAGCUUCGUAGUCGAGAGGGAAACAGCCCAGAUCACCAACUAAGGUCCCUAAGCGUGUGCUAAGUGGGAAAGGAUGUGGAGUUGCUGUGACAACCAGGAGGUUGGCUUAGAAGCAGCCACCCUUUAAAGAGUGCGUAACAGCUCACUGGUCAAGUGAUUCCGCGCCGACAAUGUAGCGGGGCUCAAGCACACCACCGAAGUUGUGGCAACGAAAGUUGGGUAGGGGAGCGUCGUGUAGCGAGUGAAGCGGCGGAGUGAUCCAGUCGUGGAUGCUGCACGAGUGAGAAUGCAGGCAUGAGUAGCGAAAGACGGGUGAGAAACCCGUCCACCGAAUAACCAAGGGUUCCAGGGUCAAGCUAAUCUGCCCUGGGUAAGUCGGGACCUAAGGCGAGGCCGACAGGCGUAGUCGAUGGACAUCCGGUUGAUAUUCCGGAACCGGCGAAGGACCGCCCCUGGCGAGGCUGUGGAUGCUAACCGUGUGAUCACUGCUGAUCGACACUUUGUGUUGUGAUGAUGGUGUGAGCCCGGGACCCGAGACAGUAGUAGCCAAGCGAUGGAGAGACGCAAGAAGGUAGCUGCUGCGUGGCGAUGGUUGUCCACGUCCAAGGGUGUAGGGUGAUGUAUAGGUAAAUCCGUGCAUCGUGUGCCUGAGACCUGAUGGUGACCGCGUAUGCGGGAAGUCAGUGAUCCUAUGUUGCCGAGAAAAUCUUCUAGCGAGGUUCUAGCCGCCCGUACCCCAAACCGACUCAGGUGGUUAGGUAGAGAAUACCAAGGUGAUCGAGUGAAUCGUGGUUAAGGAAUUCGGCAAAAUACCCCCGUAACUUCGGGAGAAGGGGGGCCUGAUCCGUGAAACCACUUGCUGGUGGCAGCGGUGAUGGCCGCAGAGACCAGGGAGAAGCGACUGUUUACUAAAAACACAGGUCCGUGCGAAGUCGCAAGACGAUGUAUACGGACUGACGCCUGCCCGGUGCUGGAAGGUUAAGGGGACGAGUCAACCCUUUUGGGUGCAGCUCUGAACUUAAGCCCCAGUAAACGGCGGUGGUAACUAUAACCAUCCUAAGGUAGCGAAAUUCCUUGUCGGGUAAGUUCCGACCUGCACGAAUGGCGUAACGACUUCUCCACUGUCUCAACCGCGAACUCGGCGAAAUUGCACUACGAGUAAAGAUGCUCGUUACGCGCAGCAGGACGGAAAGACCCCGGGACCUUUACUACAGCUUGGUAUUGGUAUUCGGUGCGGCUUGUGUAGGAUAGGUGGGAGACUG
rfam:Kytococcus sp. HMSC28H12 Kytococcus_spHMPREF3099-1.0_Cont104.1, whole genome shotgun sequence.